AGCAGCCGCGGUAAUUCCAGCUCCAAUAGCGUAUAUUAAAGUUGCUGCAGUUAAAAAGCUCGUAGUUGAAUUUCGGGACCGAUAUAUCGGUCGUGCCUCGGUACGUACUGGUAUUUUCGGUUUCUCCCUUCUGACGAACCUUGAUGUCAUUAAUUUGGUGUCUUGGGAAAUCAGGACUGUUACUUUGAAAAAAUUAGAGUGUUUAAAGCAGGCUCGCGCUUGAAUACAUUAGCAUGGAAUAAUGAAAUAGGACGUUUGAUUCUAUUUUGUUGGUUUCUAGGAUCGACGUAAUGAUUAAUAGGGAUAGUUGGGGGCAUUAGUAUUCAAUUGUCAGAGGUGAAAUUCUUGGAUUUAUUGAAGACUAACUACUGCGAAAGCAUUUGCCAAGGAUGUUUUCAUUAAUCAAGAACGAAAGUUAGGGGAUCGAAGACGACCAGAUACCGUCGUAGUCUUAACCAUAAACUAUGCCGACUAGGGAUCGGAUGAUGUUAAUUUUUUAAUGACUCAUUCGGCGCCUUACG
rnacentral:rRNA from 1 species